GAUGAACGCUGGCGGCGUGCCUAAUACAUGCAAGUCGAGCGAACGGACGAGAAGCUUGCUUCUCUGAUGUUAGCGGCGGACGGGUGAGUAACACGUGGAUAACCUACCUAUAAGACUGGGAUAACUUCGGGAAACCGGAGCUAAUACCGGAUAAUAUUUUGAACCGCAUGGUUCAAAAGUGAAAGACGGUCUUGCUGUCACUUAUAGAUGGAUCCGCGCUGCAUUAGCUAGUUGGUAAGGUAACGGCUUACCAAGGCAACGAUGCAUAGCCGACCUGAGAGGGUGAUCGGCCACACUGGAACUGAGACACGGUCCAGACUCCUACGGGAGGCAGCAGUAGGGAAUCUUCCGCAAUGGGCGAAAGCAUGACGGAGCAACGCCGCGUGAGUGAUGAAGGUCUUCGGAUCGUAAAACUCGGUUAUUAGGGAAGAACAGAUGUGUAAGUAACUGUGCACAUCUUGACGGUACCUAAUCAGAAAGCCACGGCUAACUACGUG
rnacentral:rRNA from 1 species